UACGAAGGAUGCGAGCGUUAUCCGGAUUUAUUGGGUUUAAAGGGAGCGUAGGCGGUCUUAUAAGUCAGUGGUGAAAUCCUAUCGCUUAACGAUAGACGUGCCAUUGAUACUGUAGGACUUGAGUACAGAUGCCGUUGGCGGAAUGUGUCAUGUAGCGGUGAAAUGCAUAGAUAUGACACAGAACACCGAUUGCGAAGGCAGCUUGCUACACGAUCAUUGACACUGAGGCACGAAAGCGUGGGGAUCAAACAGG
rnacentral:rRNA from 1 species